UCUGCCCUACGGGACGCGGCAGUGGGGAAUAUUGCGCAAUGGGGGAAACCCUGAUGCAGCGACGCCGCGUGGGUGAAGAAGUAUUUCGGUAUGUAAAGCCCUAUCAGCAGGGAAGAAAAUGACGGUACCUGACUAAGAAGCCCCGGCUAACUACGUGCCAGCAGCCGCGGUAAUACGUAGGGGGCAAGCGUUAUCCGGAUUUACUGGGUGUAAAGGGAGCGUAGGUGGCGUGCCAAGUCAGGAGUGAAAACCCAGGGCCCAACCCUGGGACGGCUCUUGAAACUGACAGGCUUGAGGUCUGGGAG
rnacentral:rRNA from 1 species